rnacentral:rRNA from 1 species
AUUGAACGCUGGCGGCAUGCCUUACACAUGCAAGUCGAACGGUAACAGGUCUUGGGAUUCUGACUAGUGGCGGAGGGGGGCGUAAUACUUCGGAACGCGCCUAGUAGUAGUUUAUAACUACUCGAAAGAGUAGCUAAUACCCCAUGAGAUCUACUACUGACAACAGGUGACCUCCGGGCCUUGUGCUACUAUAGCGGCUGAUGGCAGAUGAGGUAGUUGGUGGGGUAAAGGCUUACCAAGCCUGCGAUCUGUAGCUGGUCUGAGAGGAGGACCAGCCACACUGGGACUGAGACACGGCCCAGACUCCUACGGGAGGCAGCAGUGGGGAAUAUUGGACAAUGGGCGAAAGCCUGAUCCAGCAAUGCCGCGUGCAGGAGGAAGGCCCUCGGGUUGUAAAAUGCUCUUGUACGGAAAGAAAAGAGUGGGGCUAAUAUCCCCGGGUCAUGACGGUACCGUAAGAAUAAGCACCGGCUAACUACGUG